GCUCUCAGGAAGACUGGUGAAGGGACCACCUCUGAGGCCUCCUUUCAACACCUUCUGGAAUCCCAAACAAGAAGUGAGACAGAUAGGAUGUUAAAUACAUCAUCCAACUGCCUUCUGGCAUUCAUGAUAUCUGAUGAGAAGCCAACUGCUAUUUUUACUGAGGAUCUCUUGUGUAGUCUGGAUACCUUGACAUCUGUAACAACAUGAGAGAAACACUGUCUUGCCUGUAGCAAAUUGAUUUUUGAGCUUAGAUUCAGCAUCUCUUGCUCUUUAGGUACUUCAUUAAGCUGUUCCAAGUUGACUAUCAGUUAAAUGAAGAACAAUGAAAUAGCAUUCAUUAGAGUUUGCUUAAUCCAAGGAAACCUGGCCCGAUAAUGAUGGUUAGCAGAGUCGUUGUUGUCCUUCAAAUUACAUUUAAAUUACUCUGUAAGUGAUAUUCAAAUGUAAGGUGUAAGAAGCAAAAAUGGCAAAAGUACACUGCAACACACCAUUUUGGCAUCUUUGGAGAGUUACUCAACUCCCUAAUGACUCUCUCAGCUGCAUCAAAGGCAUAAUGAUAAGGAAAACUCAAGUUUUUUGUUAUUUAUGAAGGGCUUUACUAUGCUGCUGAGGAGUUGACAGACUAAUGUACAUUGUUUGAAACUGUGUCUAUCUUUCUAUUAUUUUUAGUAGCUCCCACCAAAACAAUGUCAUUUAAAUACCAUUGCUCUUGGUUGUUGCCUCAACAGAGUAAUUGAAUAUAGAUAGGCUUUGUUAACUAGCAGAAAUUACUAACUUUGCAGUAAUUCUCAAAGAAGAGGUAUCAUGCAUAUCUGGGGAAGUUUGAAGUUUUUGGUAGUGUUUUUCAUUGUCCAUUGACUAGAAGUACAACACUAGCAUUUAGUGAGUAUUGGACAGGGUCCCAGAUAACAAACACUUUUCCCACCCGGAAAUUCCAAUAUGGCCCCCUUUGAGAUACAGUGAGAAAUGGAAUUGCAGUCUAGUUAUAAUAGGCAGUAUACUACAAUGACGAUGCACUUUCUUCACACUUGCAUGCCCUCAAAAUGAAAUCUAUUGCAACAUGUCAGAAUUCGUUGUGAGUGCUGCAUUUUGGAUUACUGCAUGUUUAAGAACAUUAGGACUUCAGAGCUGAAUGGAUUGUGAACUCUUAAUAAAGAACAAUUGUAUCAUGUAGGUAUCUGCUUUGUAGCUCCAACUUAUAAACUAUUGCCUUUGUACAAAUUUACUACCUUGCCUAUAGAAAGGACUCUGUACUAUCAAAUUAAGAAUAGGGUUUGAGAUAGGACUGGAUUCUUUUCAAUUGUUGUGGUGGUGGGCUCAGUUCUGCAUCCAGGUUGGUGGGAGGCAAAAUAGAGAUUGAUCACAAGCACAAAGAAACUGGAGAAUAGGACAGAUAAUAUAUAGGAUAUAUAAGGAAUGAUCAACUACACAGUAGUUCUCAAAGAAGCACAAUAUUGAAUAGGGUAUAGGAUAGUCCGUUUCCCUUAAAGAGGAUUUGGAUUGGGUUGGAAAGCCAAGAGUAAAAAAAUGAUGAUAAUAGUAAUAAUGCGAUAAUAAUAAUAAAACAUGCAAAAUGGCCUAAUAAGUUGUUACAUGUAGUGGUGCUAGGAAUGUGUACUUGAGGAACUUAGAGAUAAGGAUAUACAUUU